AGUGAACGCUGGCGGUAGGCCUAACACAUGCAAGUCGAACGGCAGCACAGUAAGAGCUUGCUCUUACGGGUGGCGAGUGGCGGACGGGUGAGGAAUACAUCGGAAUCUACUUUUUCGUGGGGGAUAACGUAGGGAAACUUACGCUAAUACCGCAUACGACCUACGGGUGAAAGCAGGGGAUCUUCGGACCUUGCGCGAUUGAAUGAGCCGAUGUCGGAUUAGCUAGUUGGCGGGGUAAAGGCCCACCAAGGCGACGAUCCGUAGCUGGUCUGAGAGGAUGAUCAGCAACACUGAACUGAGACACGGUCCAGACUCCUACGGGAGGCAGCAGUGGGGAAUAUUGGACAAUGGGCGCAAGCCUGAUCCAGCCAUACCGCGUGGGUGAAGAAGGCCUUCGGGUUGUAAAGCCCUUUUGUUGGGAAAGAAAAGCAGCAGGUUAAUACCCCGCUGUUCUGACGGUACCCAAAGAAUAAGCACCGGCUAACUUCGUG
rnacentral:rRNA from 1 species